rnacentral:miRNA from 1 species
CCUAGAAAUAACUAUACCUGUCACAAGGGUAGUUACUAUUUUUAGAACUAUAUAUAUAUAUAUAUAUAUAUAUAUAUAUAUAGUUCUAAAAAAAGUAACUACCCUUGUGACAGGUAUAGUUAUUUCUAGG